GUUUCACACUCCCAUUGAGGUUGAAUGACAAAAAAAUAAAUAUGAGAGUUAAAAAUAAAUAUUUUAUAUUGCCAAUAGUUUUCAUACUUUUUCGCUUUUAUUAGGGUCAUCAAUUUACUCAAAUAGCGAUUUAUACUCAAAUAUUUUCAUUAUAUAGAAGGAUAUUUAAGUAAAUUUAUCUUAAUAAAGACAAAGAAUAGUUACAAUUGCAGACGUUAGAAGUGAGAAAAUCACUAGUUUAGUAUAAAUAUCAUUUCUCUUGUUUUUUGAUUUACUAUAUUUUGUUUAUAAACCUCUGAAAAUAAAAAGAUGGCGGUUCACUGUUUUCCAAAUAAUCUUUCAUUUCUCUCCUCUCCUCACCACCACACCAAGGCACCACCUACAACUACCCACUCGUGGCGCUUGUUAAAGCACGGUAUUCAAUUGAAUACUCUAUUUUUUUUAGUUGUAAUCUAGAAGCGAAAAUUUUUGAAAAUGGGGAACAAUAAUCGGGUCCCGUCUUCUUCCUAUAAAAAUAUUCAAAUUUUUAUACUUAUUUAGUAGUUUUUUGUUUUAAGCAUUGAAAUGUGGAAGUUUAUUGUACGAAUGAAAUGUGAAAGAGCCAACAUAGGCAAUUGGCUUCGUUAUGUAUUUCCAAAGAGAUGCAUUUGAUAAUAUAAAUAAUCAAAUCCACCCCAAAAGCAUGAAUAUUGAAGUUAUUAUGCAAUAAUUUUAAAAACUAGUCUAUGAAAAUUGUAAUAUUCUAUGUAUUUACAUAUUUUUGAUAUAAUAGUCCUUUUUACACACAUGAUUUGUCAAAUAAAACUGAUAGAAUUUAAGUUUUAUAUUACUACCCUAACAAAAGUUUUUGACAUGCCAUUGCAACCGCACCACCUCUAGCUACCACGAUCCCACGACCUCACUACUAGUCGUCAUCACCAUCUUCCAUAGUCAACAACCACUACCGACAACCACCUCUGACCGUUGAGUACUCUUGCGGCAACUGCCCCACCUUUUGCCACAACUGCGGAAGACUAUUCUAUCUCUGCGCACCAUCUUUAGCCACGAACUAGCACCAAGUCACCACCAGUUCUUAGCCCUCAUAUUUGGCCAUAACCACUUAUGACACCCUCGUCAUUAGAGGCAGGGGCGGUGCUACAGCAGCCCAGGUGGGGCUGUAGCCCCCCCGACUUUCAAAGUAUUACAAAAUUUGUUUUAGAAAAUUUUUUUUUUUACACUUUAGCUCCCUUGAAAUAUAUUAAAUUUUUUUUUUUAUACUUUAGCCCCCUAACCUAAAAUCCUGACUCCGCCCCUAGUCUAAUCCCAUUUGGCCAACAUAUGUGCAUGCACCAAACAUAUAUUAAUUCACUUGUUUACAUUUGUUUUUUUUUAAACAAAAAAGCAAAAACUUUUUUUUGUUUAUUAUAAACAAAAAAUAAAAGAAAGCUAAUCAGAUGGGUUUAAGCCCGUGAUAUUACCACGGGCUCGCCUAAAUAGUCGCGCCACAUCCACCCAUUUGGGGGGGGGAUGGGACUUAAAAAAAAACAACAUAAUUUAUCUUAUUCACUCCUAAAUGAGUGGAUGUGGCGCGACCACGUAAACGAGUCUGUGGUAAUACUAUGGGUUUAAGCCCGUCUGAUCAGCUCUCAAAAUGAAAACAGUAAACGCUACAAAACACUAUAUUUCAUUAUAGUUUUACUUUUGGGAACAUCGUUGAUGUCAAUUACUUCUCAUCAAACCACCCUCCGCUCUCUAUCUGGUCUUUCUAUUUUUUUGUUUGUCAUUUAUCUCUCUUCACGUUUCAUUUUACCCCAAGUCAUAUCAAGUCAGAAUCUUGUCCUUGCCAAAACAUUUGGACCACUACAUUAUUGUUUGAAGGACAAUAUUUUAUUUUAUUAUAUUUUAUUUUAUUUUCAAAUUUAAAAGACAAAUGACAUUUUUUAUAAUAGAUUAGUAUAAAUAUCAUUUCUCUUGUUUUUGAUUUAAUAUAAUAUUGUUUUUUGUUUACGACACUGAAAGUAAAAAGAUGUGGUUUACCACUUGUUUCAAAAUAAGCUUUCAUUCUCUCCUCUCUCUCCUCACCACCGAGGCACCACCUACAACUACCCACUCGUGGCGGCUUGUUAAAGCAUUGGUAUUCAAUUGAAUACUCAAUUUUUUUUUGUAAAUCUAGAAGCGAAAAUUUUGAAAAUGGGGAACAAAAUAAUGCAGUCACUUUCUUUCUAUAAAAAAUAUUCAAAUUUUAUACCUAUUUAGUAUUAUUUAUUGAAGCAUUGAAAUGUGAAGUUUAUUAACGAAUCGAAAGGUGAAAGAGGCACAGAGGCAAUUGGCUUCGUUAUGUAUAUCCAAAGAGAUGCAUUUGAUAAUAUUAAUAAUCAAAUUCACCCAAAAAAAUAUAAAUAAUAAAAAUCAAGAUAUUAUGUUAAAAGUUGAUUAUUCAAAACAUGAGUUAAGAACUAUCAAAAUAAAACUUCUCAGUUUUUAUUUUUAUUUUCAAUUUUCUUAAAUUAUUUUGGGUUCAUAAAUAAAAGAAUAAAUUACAAUAAACUUUUUAAGACAACUUUUAAAAGAAAAAAAUAAAACAAAACAGAAUAGAACAUUCAGCAAUUAUUUGUGAGCACUGUUGUGGGUCCCCUGAAAAUAUGAUACACUCAGGCUCCGUUUGGUUAAUGUUAAAAAAAACUAAGCUUUUUUUAAGCUUGCCUGCUACUAAGAAGGCAAAGAAUUUUUGAUUUUUUUUUUUUUUGCUUUUGUGGCUUUACUUAGCUUAAAUCUAAGCAAAAAGCAAAAUCAGAAAAGCAAAAAAGCCAACAAAGUUGGCUUUUUUGAAUUAUUUUAAGACAAAAAUCAAAAGGAGAAAAAAAGCUGUGAAAAAAGUGUGGUGCAAACAGAGCCUCAAUAUCUCUAUUGUGAGACCCCCAUCACGUUGGUGGUGGGUUCCCCACUAUUAGUUGUGAAAGAAAUUAUUCAAAUAAGAUAUAAAAAUCUCCCCACAUAUGUAGUUUCAUUUGCGACAUCAUUAACUUCUAAAUUUAUUUGUCAGUGCAUUUAACAUGUUCAACCUAAUUCAAAUUCGAUGGGUCUCUCCUCUAAUUUAUUUAAUUAUUUUCGAUUCCUAAAAUGUAAAAUCACUAAUCUAAUCGAUUUGGGAAAUUUUCAUAGGUCAUCCCUUAAAACCCUAAGAUCGAUGAUACAUUAGGGUUCUUUGCGACCACGAGACAGCAAAAUCUUCUCCCUUUUAAGUUAUAAUAGAAGAAAUUAUGAGGGUUGGAGGGUCCUAAAUAGAAAAAUAAAUAUUUGAGGGAGUAUGGUUGGAAAACUAACGAAAAAAGCAGUACUGGAAUGAUAUUAUGCAAUAAUUUUAAAAACUCGUCGAUGAAAAUUGUAAUAUUCUAUGUAUUUACAUAUUUUUGAUAUAAUAGAGGUCCUUUUUAUACGCAACCACACCACCUCUAGCCACCACAAUUCAUAGACCUCACUACUAGCCAUCAUCACCAUCUCCCAUAGUCAACAACCACUACCGACAACCACCUCUGAUCGUUGGUGACUAGACUCCUCCGGCAACUGCCCCACCUUUUGCCACAACUGCAGAAGACUAUUCUAUCUCUGCCCACCAUCUUUGGCCUCGAACUAACACCAAGUCACCAACAGGUCCUAGCCUUCAUAUUUGGCCACAACCACUUAUGACACCCUUGUCAUCGGAGACCCUUUUGGCCAACCCUACAUCAUGUAUAUGUGCAUGCACCAAACAUAUAUUAAUUUACUUGUUUACAUUUUUUUUUUAAACAAAAAAGCAAAACCUCGUUUUUUUGUUUAUUAUUGACAAAAAAAAUAAAAACAAUAAACGCUACAAAACAUUACAUUUCAUUUUAGUUUUACUUUUGGGAACAUCACAUAAUUGAUGUCCAGCGCUUCUCAUCACACCACCCUCUUCUCUUUCUAUCUUCGCCACGUUUCAUUUUACCCAAGGCAUAUCAAGUCAAAAUCUUGUUUUCUAAGGCUUUAUUGGGUCCCGUUUUCAUUUCUUAUUUUUUGAAUAUUUGAAAAAGGAAAAUAGCAAUGAGUACAAGAACGUCCAUAGUUUUUAGGAAUUUUUUUAACAAAACCUCUAGAGUUUUAUCUAAGUAAUAAAUUAAAUUUUAUAAUUUUAAUUUUUUUAAAUUAAAGGAUUUAAUUUUAAUUUUGUCACAAUUAAAACUAUAUAUACGUGAGUCUCCAUCCACCUAAAGUUGACGAAAUCAACUAGUUAUCUUUAGGUUAUUUCCAUCCACCUAAAGUCUUUGUUCACCUGUGCGGGCAACAAUCUAUCUCUCUGGGGAUGCCGAUUUCUCCUAUACACUAGGAAGCAAGUGUUUGUUUUGAUGAUCCAGAUUGUUCUAAUAAAAUAGUGGAGCAUCGACUUGAGUAUAACAGAUAAUUAGGCCAUGUUUAAUGAUUUUUUUGUUUGUUUUUAAAGCUAUUUUGAUUUUUAAUUUUUUAAUUUGAUCAAAAUUUUAUACUUUUUCAAUUCAUCUUGACAAAAUGAGUUAAAAUAUAAAAAUUAUUAUCUAAUUUUAAAAAAUUUUAUUAAAUACAAAAAUAAAUAAUUAUUACUUAAAAAAAAUCAUGUAAAAAUAGUUUAUUUUAGUAUGUAAUGAACUUUUAUCCAAAGUAGUUGAAUAUUUAUAUUUUUGGACUCGUCUUGUCAAUAGUGAAUAGAAAAAUUAUAAAAUUUUGAUUAAAUGAUUAAAAAAAAUUCAAUAAAUAGAUCAAAAAUCAAAACAGUUAUAUAAACAUAAAAAAAGACAUCUAAAAUGGGGCUUAACCACGUCUCAUUGAGACGUGGUUGGGUAGUGAUUGGCAUAAUUCUUUUAAAAAUUAUAGUUACAAUACGUAUGAAAUUCUUAUUCACCUUUUUUUUUUUUAACUUUUAAUACAGAGCAUGAAUAUAUUAUAUAGAACACACAAUUGUUUUAAUAGCAACAACGUCAAAUUAUUAACAACACUGUUACGAUUUAAAAAGGUUUUCAGAAUUUCAUAUA
rnacentral:lncRNA from 1 species